UAUCUUCUCAAAUUUUAUUAUUGCUUCUAAUUGAUUUCUAGUUUAAUUUGUUUUGAUUUCAAAUUUAAAACCCCUCUAAUUUUAUUUGAAUUUUAUUAAAGAAAUAAAUCUUACCAAUCUCUGUGGAUUUGACCCUACUUGUCACUAUUUACAAGUUGUUUUUAUUUGAAGAGUAGGAACUUAUUUUUGUUGGAUUCGACACCCAUCAAGAAUCAUGAAAAGCAGCCUUCGGGAUCAGAGUAAUGAUUAGCAGAGACAGUCGAGGGCAUUCGUAUUUCAUAGUCAGAGGUGAAAUUCUUGGAUUUAUGAAAGACGAAUAACUGCGAAAGCAUUUGCCAAAGAUGUUUUCAUUAAUCAAGAACGCAAGUUUGGGGCUCGAAGACGAUCAAAUACUGUCCUAGUCUCAACCAUAAACGAUGCCGACCAGGGAUCGGCGAAUAUUACUUUUAGGACUCCACCGGCACCUUAUGAGAAAUCAAAGUCUUUGGGUUCCAGGGGGAGUAUGGUCGCAAGGUUGAAACUUAAAGGAAUUGACGGAAGGGCACCGUCAGCUAUGACUUUCUGCCUAAGAUCUUGUUGAUUACCCAAGACAAUCCUUCCCUUAUACUUCAGAAUCCCCUGAUUGUACACAUGAUGCUCCUUAGUUGCUGGAUUAAUG
rnacentral:ncRNA from 1 species